rnacentral:rRNA from 1 species
UACGAAGGGGGCGAGCGUUGUUCGGAAUUACUGGGCGUAAAGGGCGCGCAGGCGGCCGAUCAAGUCAGGCGUGAAAGCCCCGGGCUUAACCUGGGAAUUGCGCUUGGGACUGAUGGGCUUGAGUUCGGGAGAGGAGAGUGGAAUUCCCAGUGUAGAGGUGAAAUUCGUAGAUAUUGGGAAGAACACCGGUGGCGAAGGCGGCUUUCUGGACAGUAACUGACGCUGAGGCGCGAAAGCUAGGGGAGCAAACAGG